rnacentral:rRNA from 1 species
CCUACGGGCGGCAGCAGUGGGGAAUAUUGCACAAUGGGGGAAACCCUGAUGCAGCGACGCCGCGUGAGUGAAGAAGUAAUUCGGUAUGUAAAGCUCUAUCAGCAGGGAAGAAAAUGACGGUACCUGAGUAAUAAGCCCCGGCUAACUACGUGCCAGCAGCCGCGGUAAUACGUAGGGGGCAAGCGUUAUCCGGAUUUACUGGGUGUAAAGGGAGCGUAGACGGCAGUGCAAGUCUGGGGUGAAAGGCGGGGGCUCAACCCCCGGACUGCUCUGGAAACUGUACGGCUGGAGUGCAGGAGAGGUAAGUGGAAUUCCUAGUGUAGCGGUGAAAUGCGUAGAGAUUAGGAGGAACACCAGUAGCGAAGGCGGCUUACUGGACUGUAACUGACGUUGAGGCACGAAAGCGUGGGGAGCAAACAGGAUUAGAUACCCCAGUAGUC